rnacentral:rRNA from 1 species
UACGGAGGGUGCGAGCGUUGUCCGGAAUCACUGGGCGUAAAGGGCGCGUAGGCGGCCUGGUAAGUAGGGGGUGAAAUCCUGCGGCUUAACCGCAGGGCUGCCUUCUAAACUGUCAGGCUCGAGCACGGUAGAGGCAGAUGGAAUUCCCGGUGUAGCGGUGGAAUGCGUAGAGAUCGGGAAGAACACCGGUGGCGAAAGCGCUCUGCUGGACCACAACUGACACUCACAGGACGAAAGCUAGGGGAGCGAAUGG